AUACGAAGGGGGCUAGCGUUGUUCGGAAUUACUGGGCGUAAAGCGCAUGUAGGCGGACAUUUAAGCCAGGGGUGAAAUCCCGGGGCUCAACCUCGGAACUGCCUUUGAUACUGGGUGUCUAGAGUGUGGAAGAGGUAAGUGGAAUUCCGAGUGUAGAGGUGAAAUUCGUAGAUAUUCGGAGGAACACCAGUGGCGAAGGCGGCUUACUGGUCCAUUACUGACACUGAGGCGCGAAAGCCAGGGGAGC
rnacentral:rRNA from 1 species